AAAUAAGUCUAAUUAUCUAUGUAAUUGAAAAGUCACAGAUGUGAAAUUGUGGAAGGAGAAAAAUGUUUCUGCCUCAUGCAGAAAGUAGAUCCAGUAGCAAUAUAAAUUUAUACGAUGGAGAAGCAAAUCCUUUUGUUAUUUGACUUUCCUUAGGAAAUUUCCAGUUUCAAUUUAAAUGGUUAACGGAAUAUAAAAAAUAAAUCUACUAGAAGAAAACCAUAUAGGCUGUAAGUCACUCCUUUGCACAGAUUAUAUUUUGGAUGAAUGACACUUAUGAUUUUAGCCAUUAACCCUCAAAUAACUAAAUUUCAAAAAGAAAAAUGUUGAAAUUAAUGGGAUUGACUACCAGCAGGUGAACAUAUAGUAAAAUAAAACCAACCAUUUUUAUAAUCAAGACAUUUAACUUAUCUAAACACAAAGGUCUGUGGUGUCAUACAAGUAUCUGGAACUGAUCUUAAUCAUGUUUUUGUCAGUGAAACAUCAUUUCUCUCGACAAAUUUUAUAUGAAUAAAAUCAUAGAAAACUGAAC
rnacentral:misc_RNA from 1 species